GCCUGGCUGGCUCAGUCAGUAGAGCAUGUGACUCUUGAUCUCGGGGUUGUGAGUUUGAGCCCCACAUUGGGUG
rnacentral:tRNA from 1 species